rnacentral:rRNA from 1 species
UACGUAGGGGGCAAGCGUUGUCCGGAUUUAUUGGGCGUAAAGAGCGUGUAGGCGGUUUGGUAGGUCCGUUGUGAAAACUCGAGGCUCAACCUCGAGACGCCGAUGGAAACCAUCAGACUAGAGUCCGGAAGAGGAGAGUGGAAUUCCUGGUGUAGCGGUGAAAUGCGCAGAUAUCAGGAGGAACACCGAUGGCGAAGGCAGGUCUCUGGGCCAUUACUGACACUGAGAAGCGAAAGCAUGGGGAGCGAACAGG